GAUCACUUUGUCCAUAGCCACAAUAAAGAUCAAGCUGGAGUGGUCAGAUGUCCCUCUGCGUGGCCAAAACGUUCUAGGAAGGAGUUAAAUUCGUCGUGCCCCUAACUCCUUUGUUCAAAUUGGUUGUGCGCCAUGGUCCGCCAUCCCCUUGCGACCAUGUAGCCCAAGUAUAAAAUCCUGACCUCGCCCGAGCUCGCCACAGCGUGCUCUUUACCAUGCCGGACCUCGCCGUGCUCUUUCUCACUUGCCUCACCGUGACCGGCACUCCCUGAGUGUGGAGUCCAGAACAUCGUCGCGCCGCGGCAGGCCAGCGCCGUGGACAACUUCACCUUGACCGAUCAACCUGUAUCUUCCCCGAGCGGUUUAGUGCGCGCACCGAGAACUUGAACACCUAGACGAGGUGGUACUUGACGAAGUCUACUCCAGUGCCUACUCAUCAAGUGGAUGGAGCUAUCUAACUAAAGGUUAGGUAGAAGGAUCUAGAACCUCUUCACUGCAAAAAG